rnacentral:snRNA from 1 species
GACACGUCUUUGACCUCUGUCACUUAUUAAAAUUGGAACGAUACAGAGAAGAUUAGCAUUGCCCCUGCACUUUAUAUGGCUGAAUUGAUUUUUAAAAAUAAGCAAAAAUCGGUA